rnacentral:lncRNA from 1 species
CACAUACUCAACACUCUUAAAUAGAGAUUUUAAAAUUAAUUCAUUAAAUAUAAUUUAUAUUACUAGAUUUUGUAAAAAAAUUACAUUUAGUUAAUUUUUGAUAUUAAAACAUUAGCCAUCUAAUAUAAGUUGCGAUGUAUGGAGUAAUAAUAUGCAUCAGGUACAUAUAAUAGUUUCUUCUUCUUCAAUCAAUUUUAAUAAGAACAGUUAUAAUCUAUUUCCUAUAAAUGGUUAUGAUCAAUUUGUUAAAAAAAUAUUUUAAAUAAGAACAGUUAUAAUCAAUCUAUUAAAAAAUAGCAUUUGCAUACAUCUAUAAAUUCAAUCUUAUGAACGAAUAUAAUCAAUUUGUUAAAAAAUAUCUCAAAUUAAAACAAACGGUUAUGAUCAAUUUGUUAAAAAAUAGCAUUUCUAUUAAUCUAUUUUACGUUAAAAUUAAAAUUUAAUUAUAAAUUAAAUUUAAUUAAAUUAUAAAUUAAAUUUAAUUUUUAGAUAUCAAAUUUGAAUUAAUAAUUAAUUUUUUUAUUACAGUGGAUCAAAAUUAAAUUUUAAAUUUUAAAUUAAAUGUGAAUUAAAUUUUGAUGCUUUUAGUUUAAAACACAUAUUUAAAUUUGAUUCAUCAAAAAUAAAAAAGUAUAUAAAAAUGUUCGAUGUAUAUAAAUAAAAAAACACGAUAGGAUAUUGUAAAUAUUUUCUAAUAAAAUAUAACACAUUAAUUUAUAAAUAUAAUUUUUAUUGUAAAAUUUUGGAUAUAUAUAAUGUACAAAUUUAUAUUGAUUUGAAAUAAAUUAUAAUAAUUGUUACGUGCAUUUGCACGUACAUUCAACUAGUAUAUAUAUAUAUAUAUAUAUAUAUAUAGGACAUUCCAUCUACCAGGAGGAAUUCUACACUGUCACACUUACACCACGUCAUCAAUAACAAGCCAAUCAUAUUCCUUCUUUUCAAACAAAAGUACAAUAAAAAUACUUUUUUACAAUCAUGAUGGGACAUAUAUUCUUAAAAUGAUUAAUUUGAUUGGUUUGUUACGCCACGUCACUAAUAUACCCGUUGCAUUCUAGAAUUUUUCAUCUACCAGGGGUGUCACAUGAAGCUAGCUUCAAAAUUAGUAUGGGUAAAAGGAGCGCUCUUUUGUGGUGUCCGUAUCUGAGAGAGAUCAGACCGAGUUUAGUGCGCCCAGUGUACAGGUGCCUGAAGUGAGCGAAAAUUAAGGAGAAGUUUUCUAAGAUUAUUGAAAAUAAGAGAGGGGUAAAAAGAUUUAGGAGAAAGGCUCUAUUUGAAGCUAAUCUGUGUAGAAGAGAAGUUAGCUACGUAUAAAUCUAUCGAAUU